rnacentral:SRP_RNA from 13 species
UGGAAGGCAGCAGCGGCCCAUGAUAGUUUUUGGUGGGCGAU